rnacentral:tRNA from 1 species
GCCCGUAUAAGUUAAAGAAACUCUUAGUCUGUGGCACUAAAAACAGCGGUUAAACUCCGCUUACGAGCC